UAUGUUUUACAAAUAUAGUAAGAAGUAGGCAAGACUAUACCAAGCUAUUAACAUAAAGGUACCUGUAGAAGUUAAGGAAGAUUAUCAGCUUCCUAAUAGUAUUCCUGCAUUACUUAAGAGGAUGUGAUUUUUAGAAUCACUUUUAACUGCAAGAAGUAACAAAAACUACUCAGCUCAUAAAGGGACAGAUUUGAGUCUGUUUUGUUCCUCCCUUGCAGGAAAUGAGGUAACAGUUUUUUUUUCUGUCUACAGAUCAAAUGAUAUUGGCAUCAUAGCAGUUUUGAUGAAUAAAUGAAUGACCAUGGUGGUGACCAUAUGCAUACACUGAGAAUCUUACUUGGGACUUGGGCACAUCCAUGGAAACAAAUCAUCCAGGAGACUCCAAAGGGAGAUGCAUUGAGAGGGCAUCCACUGUGUACCCUGUGAUGUCCUGGAUGUUGAUGGAACUUUAUCUUCAUUGAGUAGAAAGUCAUCAUCUUCUGGGUAUAUACUGAAUCUCAGAUUCUAGGACUCUGUGACAGUGAAGUCCUUCACACAACAGAAUGGCUGGCUCUUGACACUAUUAUUGACUAAUGAAUGAUUUGCAUUAUCUUUGGGGAGAUUCAAUCAUGGAAACAGGAUGGACAAAUGGACAUUACUCCAGACAUUCAGCUUGGAGUUUCCAGGCUGUCCCAGUCCCUUGAGACCUGUCCUCACACCUUCUCACUAGCACCCCUAGCAAGCCUUGUGGGAUUCGAAGUGGAUUAUUCAAGGUAACCUUUAUUCUACCAGCACAAACUUCAACAAAUCACUGACCAUCUCCAAGAACUUCAGUGUCCACUGGAGGAAGGUGGUGCUUCUUAGCAUGGCCUGCUGAGUCCCCUGCACCACCUCGCCCAGACCUUCAGUCUGAUUGACUGCCAUCUCCUUGUCCUCUGGCAGCCUUGGACCACUCCCACCAUGCCCCACCCAUUCUGGUCUUCCUGCCUUUCUUCAUACUCUCUCUGCAAGUUAAACAUCCACCCUUCCAGGCUCAGCUCCAAUAUUUCUUCUUUGAGACACAUGUGGCAUUUUGCCAAUUUUAGAGUUUCUUUUGAAUAAUUGUUACCGUAAGAUAAAUGAUAAGUGAUAGUCAGUUCCCACAGCAUGUUUUAUCUUUCCUCACUGU
rnacentral:lncRNA from 1 species